rnacentral:rRNA from 1 species
AGGACGAACGCUGGCGGCGUGCUUAACACAUGCAAGUCGAGCGGUGAUCCUCCUUCGGGAGGUGAUCAGCGGCGAACGGGUGAGUAACACGUGGGCAACCUGCCCCUCACACUGGGAUAACCUCGGGAAACCGGGGCUAAUACCGGAUACGACCUCGAGCGGCAUCUCUUGAGGUGGAAAGCUCCGACGGUGAGGGAUGGGCCCGCGGCCUAUCAGCUUGUUGGUGGGGUAAAGGCCUACCAAGGCGACAAUCCGUAGCUGGUCUGAGAGGACGACCAGCCACACCGGAACUGAGACACGGUCCGGACUCCUACGGGAGGCAGCAGUGGGGAAUAUUGGACAAUGGGGGAAACCCUGAUCCAGCGACGCCGCGUGUGUGAAGAAGGCCUGCGGUUGUAAAGCACUUUUAGUGGGACAAAAGCUACGGACUAAUAUUCUGUGGUCUUGAUUUAACCCAAAGAAAAGCACCGGCUAACUCUGUGCCAGCAGCCGC